CGAGAAGGCGCUAGGAGCAAAGGAAAGUGGUUUUUCUAACAAACUCAUAUAAUCAGUUGCCCGACCUACUCCAAUUUGAUUCUUUUCACAUAGUUAGACAUAGUAUAGUACUAUGAAAUGUUUCUGACCUAAAAUAUUACGAAAUAUGAUUGUUUACAUUAAAAUGUAAAAGUUGAUGUUACAAUAUGAUAAGGUGAAAAAAGUGACAUUUUAUAUCUAGAAAGUCACUUUUCAUCAAAAGUACAAUAACAAAACUACUUCCCAUUUAUCCUGUGUCCCCAGACACACUUGUGCUCUUUAUCCGCUCAAAACGCUAUACAGCGACUUGAAAGGCGCUAGGAGCAAAGGAAAGUGGUUUUUCUAACAAACUCAUAUAAUCAAUUGCCCGACCUACUCCAAUAUGAUAUUUUUCACAUAUUUACACAUAUAUAGUACUAUGAAAUGUUUCUGACAUAAAAUAUUACGAAAUAUGAUUGUUUACUUUAAAAUGUAAAAGUUGAUGUUACAGUGUGAUAAG
ensembl:lncRNA